CGUAACAGCAUUUUGUUGGGGGUGCAAUAAUAUUUUAGAGACACUUGGUGAUGUGUCCGCAUCGUGCGGGAGCGCGCGAAACAGGCACUGCUUGUCUUCCAACUUUUGGACGGCAGUCACUUAUUUUGUAGCCGGGAUUUUCUCGGUGAGAAUUCACCUUUCCUUUGCUGUUUGCCAGCAUAAUCAUGUGCUGAGAGGGAAGGUGGGCGCCUCUGGAACCUGUGGCAAUAUGUAGGCGCGGUCUACUGUGAGACCUUCAUUUAUUGCACCUGGGGAUCUUUACUAUACGGGAUCUUUACCAUACUGGAUCUUUUGCAUGGAGCCAUCUUUUGCAACCUGAUCUUUCAUUGCCUGGUGAUCUGUCUUUGCAUCGUGACCGGAAUCCACACGUAGCACAUAUACUGGGGAAGUUUUGGGAUCAACAUCUGUUCAUUAACUGCAACUAAUUAACUCAUUGUACGUUAUUCUACUGAUUUGCUGAUGAUUGAAUAAAUUCUCUAUUAAUCGCUGAAAUUGAA